UAUAGGUAGAAAACUCACCGUAUGAAAUUGUAUAUCGUAUUGAGAGAUGGAUUGACGGAAAUCAAAAAUUUAUUUUAACUAAUACUCCAUAUACUUAAGGCAUUUUCAAUAUAGGUUGCCAUUUGAAAAUCAUAAAUAAGUAGUCGUUUUACCCAAACAAUAAGAGUGACAAAAAAAUUAUAUGUAACGUUUAAGAACUAGUUGUUUCUUAAGUUUUCAAAGAAAACUGCAAAAGAAAAUUGCAGAGGUGCAUUUCAAAUAGUCUUUCAUUAAAUAUUAAUAAAUGCCAAAUUGUUACCUACUCCAAAAAGCACAAUCCCUUACAUUUUAAUUAUCAUAUAUGUGACAUUAACCUACAUCGUUCGUCAUUAUUUAAAGAUUUAGGGAUUUUAUUUGAUUCCAAACUAUUAUUCAAUGAUCAUGUAUCAGCGAUUAAAAAUAAAGCUUUAUCUGUAUUUGGUAUGAUAAAAAGAAACUGCUCCGAUUUUCGUGAUCCACUUGCUCUCAAAUGCCUUUAUACCUCACUAGUCCGUUCUUUAUUAGAAUACGCUCCAAUANAUGUAAUAUUCAACGAACUCCUCACUCUGGCUACGAUAAUAUUUUAAAACUGUUAAACUUAGAUUCUUUAAAUGCACGGAGACACUUAUCAUACAGUACGUUCCUCACCAAAUUACUAAAUAAUGAGAUUGAUGAUUCAUUUAUAUUAAGUCAAUUAAAUUUCAAAGUUAAUAGCCACCACACUCGUAACAAUCAUUUAUUUUAUAUUCCUCAUUCAUCUAAAAAGUUUACGUCAUAUGACCCCAUAAAUAUUUUAAUGUCUUCGGGAAAUAGUUAAUUAUUU